CCUACGGGAGGCAGCAGUAGGGAAUAUUGCUCAAUGGGGGAAACCCUGAAGCAGCAACGCCGCGUGGAGGAUGAAGGUUUUAGGAUUGUAAACUCCUUUUGUGAGAGAAGAAAAUGACGGUAUCUCAGGAAUGAGCAACGGCUAACGCAGUGCCAGCAGCCGCGGUAAUACGGAGGGUGGAAGCGUUACUCGGAAUCACUGGGCGUAAAGGGUGCGCAGGCGGGAUUGUAGGUCAGAUGUGAAGUCCUUUAGCUUAACUACAGAACUGCAGUUGAAACUGUGAGUCUAGAGUGUGGGAGAGGUAGGUGGAAUUCGUGGUGUAGGGGUGAAAUCCGUAGAUAUCAAGAGGAAUACUCAUUGCGAAGGCGACCUACUGGAACAUUACUGACGCUCAUGCACGAAAGCGUGGGGAGCAAACAGGAUUAGAUACCCCAGUAGUC
rnacentral:rRNA from 1 species